rnacentral:rRNA from 1 species
GCAGUCGAGCGGAUGAAGGGAGCUUGCUCCUGGAUUCAGCGGCGGACGGGUGAGUAAUGCCUAGGAAUCUGCCUGGUAGUGGGGGAUAACGUCCGGAAACGGGCGCUAAUACCGCAUACGUCCUGAGGGAGAAAGUGGGGGAUCUUCGGACCUCACGCUAUCAGAUGAGCCUAGGUCGGAUUAGCUAGUUGGUGGGGUAAAGGCCUACCAAGGCGACGAUCCGUAACUGGUCUGAGAGGAUGAUCAGUCACACUGGAACUGAGACACGGUCCAGACUCCUACGGGAGGCAACAGUGGGCGAAUUAUUGGACAAUGGGCCAGAAAGCCUGAUCCAGCCAUGCCGCGUGUGUGAAGAAGGUCUUCGGAUUGUAAAGCACUUUAAGUUGGGAGGAAGGGCAGUAAGUUAAUACCUUGCUGUUUUGACGUUACCAACAGAAUAAGCACCGGCUAACUUCGUGCCAGCAGCCGCGGUAAUACGAAGGGUGCCAAGCGUUAAUCGGAAUUACUGGGCGUAAAGCGCGCGUAGGUGGUUCAGCAAGUUGGAUGUGAAAUUAGAACCCGGGCUCAAGAACGCUGGGGCCAACUGCAUCCAAAAACUACCUGAGCUAGAGUACGGUAGAGGGUGGGUGGAAUUUCCUGUGUAGCGGUGAAAUGCGUAGAUAUAGGAAGGAACACCAGUGGCGAAGGCGACCACACCUGGACCUGAUACUGACACUGAGGUGCGAAAGCGUGGGGAGCAAACAGGAUUAGAUACCCUGGUAGUCCACGCCGUAAACGAUGUCGACUAGCCGUUGGGAUCCUUGAGAUCUUAGUGGCGCAGCUAAAGUUGCGAUAAGUCGACCUGCCUGGGGGAAGAGUGCCCACACGGCCGCAAGGUUAACCUAACUCAAAUGAAUUGACGGGGGCCCGCGCACAAGCGGUGGAGCAUGUUGGUUUAAUUCGAAGCAACGCGAAGAACCUUACCUGGUCUU